rnacentral:snRNA from 1 species
GCAUACUGCUCUAGGUGCACAUGGUCUAUUCGUAAAGAUACAGAGAAGAUUAGCAUAGCCCCUGCGCUAAGGAUGACACGCUAUUCAAAGAGAAGCUACGAUUUUUU